rnacentral:misc_RNA from 1 species
UGGCUCUCGCAUCGAUGAAGAACGCAGCGAAAUGCGAUAAGUAAUGUGAAUUGCAGAAUUCAGUGAAUCAUCGAAUCUUUGAACGCACCUUGCGCCCCUUGGUAUUCCGAGGGGCAUGCCUGUUUGAGUGUCAUUAAAUUAUCAAACCUGAGAUGGUUCUUUGGGACCUCUUGGCGUCUUGGAGUUUGGAGCGUGCGGGGGGAGAUCCCUCCCGCUCCUCUUGAAAUGCAUCAGUGGACGUCUGCCUUGCGGACCCUGCGCAGCGUGAUAACUAUCUACGUUGCCUCGGUUGCGGGUAGUCCGCUUCAAACCGUCGCACCCGCGCGACAGAACACUACUUUGACAAUUUGACCUCAGAUCAGGCAGGAUUACCCGCUGA